UGACAUCACAAUCACUUUCUUGAUUUUUGACCACUCUUCAUUCUAGGCCAUCUCUCCACUCUCACAUUCAGUUUCCCAGAUGAGAACACCGGGCCAAGAAACCCUUUCUAGUUAGAACAAGGACAGCAACUGGAAUGACCAGACUCCUCAAUAUAAAGCUCCCCUGAGGGCUCCCUUGUCACUAUAAAGAUCAUCUCAAGCUGACUCAUUCAUUUAUUCCUAAAUUCAUUCAUUCACUCUGUCAUGAAUGAGUUAAGCUCUCCAUAUAUGGAUAUAAGAAAGUAAAACACAUCAUUUGUUCUUUUAAAAACUUCAAUUGAAAAUGGAAUAAUAAGGAAUGUGAGGUUAAAUUUUACAAUAAUACUAUCAUUUAUAUAAAGGGAAAAGUAUCAUAGAGGUCAAGCAUCUUUUGAUAUUUAUCCUAUCAGAAGUCUAGUGAAAGAGUGUAUGAAAAGGAGAACCUGUUUCUAGUCCUCGAGACUUUCUUUUGAAGAGGAAGGAGACAGAGACUUUGAAGACAACUUGUUCAGGCUCAGAACAGGGAUUACAGAGCUCUGAGGAAAAAUAGUGCUUAAGAACAAAGCUGCUGGGCUACGAGAUAAGAAAGCCUUUUUCUACAGAGGAAUAUGGAUGUGAG
rnacentral:lncRNA from 1 species